rnacentral:rRNA from 1 species
AAACGAUGGAUACUAGGUGUGGGAGGUAUCGACCCCUUCCGUGCCGCAGUAAACGCAAUAAGUAUCCCGCCUGGGGAGUACGGCCGCAAGGUUGAAACUCAAAGGAAUUGACGGGGGCCCGCACAAGCAGCGGAGCAUGUGGUUUAAUUCGAAGCAACGCGAAGAACCUUACCAGAACUUGACAUCGUCUGCAUUACUCUUAAUCGAGGAAGCCUUUCGGGGCAGAUAGACAGGUGGUGCAUGGUUGUCGUCAGCUCGUGUCGUGAGAUGUUGGGUUAAGUCCCGCAACGAGCGCAACCCUUAUUGCUAGUUGCCAUCAUUAAGUUGGGCACUCUAGUGAGACUGCCGGAGACAAUUCGGAGGAAGGUGGGGAUGACGUCAAAUCAUCAUGCCCCUUAUGUUCUGGGCUACACACGUGCUACAAUGGGUGUAACAACGAGAAGCAAGCUGGCAACAGCAAGCCAAUCUCUGAAAAGCACCCUCAGUUCGGAUUGUAGGCUGAAACCCGCCUACAUGAAGUUGGAGUUGCUAGUAAUCGCGAAUCAGCAUGUCGCGGUGAAUACGUUCCCGGGCCUUGUACACACCGCCCGUCACACCAUGGGAGUUAGAGGCACCCGAAGCCGGUGACUUAACCGUAAGGAGAGAGCCGUCGAAGGUGAAGCUAGCGACUGGGGUGAAGUCGUAACAAGGUAACC